rnacentral:lncRNA from 1 species
UUUUAUUCUAAUUUUAUUAUCUAUUAAAUAAUAAAAUGAUGAUGACAUUUUCAGUUAGUUUAAUUAUGAAUUUUGUGUUUUUUUAUGAUACUGUAAAAUAUUUAUUUAUGAAAAAUUUUAUUUUUUUUUGUAUUUUAUGCAAUUUGCAUUGCACGUGCACUUAACUAGUACACAAUAAAUUUUGAUUUAUAAUAAUAUUGAGCGAUGAUU